GCGGGCGUGGUGGAAUUGGUAGACACGCUAGACUUAGGAUCUAGUGCCUUACGGUGUGAGAGUUCGAGUCUCUCCGCCCGCA
rnacentral:tRNA from 6 species